GUCUACGGCCAUGCCACCCUGAACAAGCCCGAUCCCGUCUGAUCUCAGAAGCUAAGCAGGUCGGGCCUGGUUAGUACUUGGAUGGGAGACCACCUAGGAAGACCAGAUGCUGUAGGCG
rnacentral:rRNA from 1 species